CACGCUGUAAACGAUGGAUACUAGGUGUAGGGGGUAUCGACCCCCCCUGUGCCGGAGUUAACACAAUAAGUAUCCCGCCUGGGGAGUACGGCCGCAAGGUUGAAACUCAAAGGAAUUGACGGGGGCCCGCACAAGCAGCGGAGCAUGUGGUUUAAUUCGACGCAACGCGAAGAACCUUACCAGGUCUUGACAUCCAUUUAAAGCCUCAGAGAUGAGGUGUCUCGCAAGAGGAAAUGAGACAGGUGG
rnacentral:rRNA from 1 species